GAGGGUAUAUCUCAGUGGUACAGUGCAUGCCUAGCAUGCAUGAGGUCCUGGGUUCAAUCCUCAGUACCUCUA
rnacentral:tRNA from 1 species